rfam:Otolemur garnettii contig022826, whole genome shotgun sequence.
GUGCCUGUGGCUCAAGGAGUAGGGCACCGGCCUCAUAUACCGGAGGUGGCAGGUUCAAACCCUGCCCUGGCCA